rnacentral:rRNA from 1 species
AUUGAACGCUGGCGGAAUGCUUUACACAUGCAAGUCGAACGGCAGCACGGACUUCGGUCUGGUGGCGAGUGGCGAACGGGUGAGUAAUGUAUCGGAACGUGCCCAGUCGUGGGGGAUAACGUAGUGAAAAUUACGCUAAUACCGCAUACGAUCUAUGGAUGAAAGCGGGGGAUCGCAAGACCUCGCGCGAUUGGAGCGGCCGAUAUCAGAUUAGGUAGUUGGUGGGGAAAAGGCCCACCAAGCCAACGAUCUGUAGCUGGUCUGAGAGGACGACCAGCCACACUGGAACUGAGACACGGUCCAGACUCCUACGGGAGGCAGCAGUGGGGAAUUUUGUACAAUGGGCGAAAGCCUGAUCCAGCCAUUCCGCGUGCAGGAUGAAGGCCCUCGGGUUGUAAACUGCUUUUGUACAGAACGAAAAGGUUUCUACUAAUACUAGGAGCUCAUGACGGUACUGUAAGAAUAAGCACCGGCUAACUACGUGCCAGCCGCCGCGGUAA